UGUCAGAUUUCUUUUUUUCUCUUCGUUCUUUCAAAAUUGAUUAUUAUUUGUAUAGCGAUUUGUCUGUCGAUCAAUGUAUUGUAUGUCGAUUUCUCUCUUGCCGGCGGACUGGUGACUCGUCCCACCAAAGGUUCUCUCCGGCCUCUAAUUCGGAGAAAAAGACAUAGGCUUUGAACGAUGAAAGAAUGUUUAAAGUUUCACAGCAACUCGUGCGAAUGGGGCGAUGAAGUUUACUUUUGUUGAAAGAAAGCAUAAAUCCAAAUUGAGUUUCAGGACUCCUGAGUUUUGCAGGAUCAACAACUCUAGAAGGUAUCUGCGAUCCAAACUGGAGGGCAUUGAUUUUGAGGAGAGAAAGAUGACCUAAUGAGGUCAAGAAAGAAAUUGACCUAUGCUAUCAACUUAUACAUAAGCUUGGCAGAGGGGUGGUGUACUUGGGUUUAUCGAGGUUGGGAUUGAGGCAUCCUCAUUAUAUUGCUUUUGUAUAAAUGAAGUUCAUUCCGAUAGCUGAUUUACUUACUUUUGUUAUGUUAUCUGAAGUCUGGAAGAUGAACUGGUAGUUUGUUUUGAUAAGUAGGGGUGAUUGGUUAGAAGAUAUUGUUGUAGAAAUUUCUUGUGCUAUUAGGUUUUGCUUCGUUUA